UUUUUUUUUUUUUUUUUUUUUUUUGAGACGGAGUCUCGCUCUGUCGCCCAGGCUGGAGUGCAGUGGCCGGAUCUCAGCUCACUGCAAGCUCCGCCUCCCGGGUUCACGCCAUUCUCCUGCCUCAGCCUCCCGAGUAGCUGGGACUACAGGCGCCACCUCAGCCCGGCUAGUUUUUUUUGUAUUUUUUAGUAGAGACGGGUUUCACCGUGUUAGCCAGGAUAGUCUCGAUCUCCUGACCUCGUGAUCCACCCGUCUCGGCCUCCCAAAGUGCUGGGAUUACAGGCUUGAGCCACCGCGCCCGGCCUAAUUUUUGUAUUUUUAAUACAGACGGGGUUUCUCCAUGUUGACCAGGCUGGUCUUGAACUCCUGACCUCACGUGAUCCACCCACCUUGACCUCCCAACGCGCUGGGAUUACAGGCAUGAGCCACUGCUUCAGCCAGUAAAUUUUAUAUUCUUUCCAUCCCAUGUCAUUUACAAAUCAAAAAUGUGUUAGUGUACCACACAUUCUAUACCUUAAAAAGGCAUGUAAGUUGACCUUUUAAAAGGAUGAAAUGAAAAUAAACGUUAGUUCCAAUGUUUCUGUCCGGCACCCCACAAAACACCCUGCUCCACAGAUACACACUCUCAACUUCACCAAGGGAAGGAACUCUAACAGCUAGGCCAGGAUCAAUAACUCAGUAGGGAAGGUGGGUCCUCAAAGAGGUUUCAAAAAAUUAAAAAGACGACAGCACUUACAGAAGCAGGAGAAGAGCCAAUGGCAAAUAGUGAGAAUAUAUGGAGAGCCAGAAGAUGAGAAUUUGCACGUAAUAUUUUGCAAGCUAUAGGCAGAUCAAGUUAGCUCUGAAGAAAAUGCUGUGGAGGGUGGAGGCAGGAACAACAGAUGUGCUGCAGCAGACACCCAGAUGCAACGGUCUCCCUUCACCAAACUGGGGCCAGAUGCAGGGAGCCAGGGGCUACUUUAGCCACAGCACAUGGUCCUGCAUACCUAAUUUGACCUGAUGGUAACUCAAGCCUUUUAAAAUACUAAAACUGCCCAGGUGCAGUGGCUCAUGCCUGUAAUCCCAGCACUUAGGGAGGCUGAGGCAGGAGGAUCACUUGCGUCCAGGAGUUUGAGACCAGCCUGGACAAUAUAGUGAGAUCCCAUCUCUACAGAAAAAAAAUAUUUUACAUCAGUCAGGCAUGGUGGUGUGCACCUGUAGUCCCAGCUAUCCCAGAGGCUGAGGUGGGAGGAUCGUUUUAGCUCAAGAGGCUGAGACUGCAGUGAGCUAUGACUGCACCACUGCAUUCCAGCCUGAGUGACAGAGCAAGACCUUGUCCGUGUAAAAAAAAAAAAAAACAAAAAACAAAAAACUUUAAAAAAGCAUAUAAAUGCAAAACCUACCAAAUUGUCAAAAAUUGAACAGGAGGUUUACCACCACCACCCCCUCCCACCAAAGGCCCAAGUGGGCAGAGGAGUAAAGAGUCACUCUUUUGUGGUUGGGGAAGGAAAAAACAGCAGAGAAAAUGAAAGCUACUGAUCAAUAUUGUGGCUGUGGGCACCUGAGACAUCUGGCAUAAAUAGUGCUCACUUUUCCCACCUGAAUCACAAUACAAUAAAUGACAUUUGGAAUCACUGCACUGAGCUAACUACUGCAAAAAAAAAUUAAUAAUGAGGUUAUUUUUCUGAUAUGCCUGCUCAUUGUGACAAAUAAUUGUAAUGCCAAGGCAGGGCUCUGAAUUAGCCACUUGCUGCAAUUUUAAAAUACAUCAAUCUAAUAUUUUGCUCUGCAGACAUGCUAAUUUUAUCAAAGUUCCCCAGUUUUUUUUUUGUUUGUUUUGUUUUGUUUUUUUUUUUUUGAGACGGAGUCUCACUCUGUUACCCAGACUGGAGCGCAGUGGCGUGAUCUCAGCUCACUGCGGGCUCCGCCUUC
ensembl:lncRNA